GGGCCUAUAGCUCAGUCGGUUAGAGCAGCGGACUCAUAAUCCGUUGGUCCACAGUUCGAGUCUGUGUGGGCCCA
rnacentral:tRNA from 4 species